rnacentral:rRNA from 1 species
UACGUAGGGGGCUAGCGUUGUCCGGAAUCAUUGGGCGUAAAGAGCGUGUAGGCGGCCCGGUAAGUCCGCUGUGAAAGUCGGGGGCUCAACCCUCGAAUGCCGGUGGAUACUGUCGGGCUAGAGUGCGGAAGAGGCGAGUGGAAUUCCUGGUGUAGCGGUGAAAUGCGCAGAUAUCAGGAGGAACACCAAUUGCGAAGGCAGCUCGCUGGGACGUAACUGACGCUGAGACGCGAAAGCCAGGGGAGCAAACGGG